ensembl:lncRNA
GUACCAGUACAGAGUCAAUGUGGAGGCUAUAUACAGGGGGUACCGGUACAGAGUCAAUGUGGAGGCUAUAUACAGGGGGUACAGGUACAGAGUCAAUGUGGAGGUUAUAUACAGGGGGUACAGUACGGAGGCAAUGUGGAGGCUAUAUACAGGGGUACCGGUACAGAGUCAAUGUGGAGGUUAUAUACAGGGGGUACCGUACGGAGGCAAUGUGGAGGCUAUAUACAGGGGUACCGGUACAGAGUCAAUGUGGAGGUUAUAUACAGGGGGUACCGUACAGAGGCAAUGUGGAGUCUAUAUAAAGGGGGUAUCGGUACAGAGUCAAUGUGGAGACUAUAUACAGGGG